AUGAGCAUCAAAUGUUCUAUUGCAUUCGAGUAUUGUAUAUGUGUGUACUAUUCCUUUGUCACUUUGUAAUCAGUGUGUUGUUCGAUGUGUCGUGUCGUUAUAAUUGAAGAUGAGUUGGCUAACAGUGCUAUGGGCAUCGGCCAUGUAUGAAUGGAUGUUCUCUCUUCCUAGUCCGACAGAGCACGAGUAAGAGUGUGGUAAUAACAUCAAUGUGCUUCUAAAAUUCUCUCUUCUCCUAUAUGCCAUCUUGAGUGAGGGAAGCAAUGGUAGCACAGAAAAGUCUCUGACGCCGGUGAUGGGCUUGCAGCAGAAGCGAAAGCUUAGUGGACCCUGAAGCUUCAAACCAAGUAAUGAUCGACACGUUGGUUUAUGUGAGAUAGGUCUAAGUCUCAUCAUAAGGUAAUCUUAAUUCUGCAUUUUCAUUUUCGUAUUAGAGCCCAGGAGAGAGUUCUUUCUUUGUCAAGGGUGUGAUUGAGAAAGUGAAAAGUUUGGAGACUAUUUUGAAAAUUAAAAUAGCAUUUAGAUUCUCGUGGAAAUCUCCGUGACUGGAUGUAAGAACUGCCGUUCUUCACAAAUCUUCCCAAGCAAACUCUCCUGAAUUUUUUUUUCUUGGGUUGACCCUCAAGCAUUUAUUUAAUUUUCUUGGGCCAGCAUAUCAUACCCAACCUAUCAGAUCAACUAUAUAUGAUAAUCUUCAGCAUAAUUUCAACUAUAUAUCAAAAUCUUUUUAAUUAGAUAUAUUAAGAUUUUAAAUUUUCAAUAUAUUAGAAUAUUAAGAACAUCUUAAAGCAAUAACUUUUUUUAUGUACUCUGAUAUCUGGAAGCUCAAUAAGUCCCAACUAAAUCACUUCGAACCGAGUCGACCUAGUAAAAGAUAAAAUUCUCCAAAUAUUAAUUUUCUUCAUUUACGAACUUGAAAAACAAUGAAUUUUAUUUCUCAAGUCUCUUUUUUUUCCUUGUUUUUUCAAUUUUGUCCUAAUUUUUUUAAUUAAAUCUUUUCCUCAAUAUUGCACUGCUUUUUCAUUAAGUCAUGUCGAAUCUUCAUCAACAAAGCUAACGUGCCAUUUUCUUUAAAAUAAAAUGAUUGAAAAAAGCUGAAAAAAACCCUUAUCUCAAUUUCGAAAGGGGUGGGGGCCACACCUAACCCACCAGGACCACCACUCCUUCCCUUCUCCCUCUUCCAUUCUCUCUCUCUUUUGUGCAGUAUGCCGUUCCAUUCUCUAAUUUCCCUUUUUCUUAAAUUUUGUUCUUUGUGAUUUUCUGAAAAUUAACUCCUUUUAAGGAAAAUGCGAUGUCAGCCUUUUUGAUGGAAAAAUGGAUCCUAGACUAUAUUAUGAGCAAACAAUGUAAUGUUGAGGAUAAAAAUGUAAAUUGAACUUGAAGAACUAAAAGUGAUUUUUCUUUUA